rnacentral:rRNA from 1 species
AACGAACGCUUGCGGCGCGCCUAAUACAUGCAAGUCGAACGACGUAGCAAUACGGAGUGGCGCACGGGUGAGUAACGCGUGGAUAAUCUGCCUUUCAGUGGGGAAUAACUAUCCGAAAGGAUAGCUAACACCGCAUGAGACCACAGGGCCUGAGGGCCUAGGGGUUAAAAAUUUAUUGCUGAAAGAUGAGUAUGCGGGUGAUUAGCUAGUUGGUGAGGUAACGGCUCACCAAGGCAACGAUCACUAGGGGAUCUGAGAGGACUACCCCCCACACUGGUACUGAGACACGGACCAGACUCCUACGGGAGGCAGCAGUAAGGAAUAUUGGACAAUGGAGGCAACUCUGAUCCAGCCAUGCCGCGUGCAGGAUGAAGGCCCUAUGGGUCGUAAACUGCUUUUGUACGAGAGAAAACCUAUUUACGUGUAGAUAGUUGAUAGUAUCGUAAGAAUAAGGAUCGGCUAACUUCGUGCCAGCAGCCGCGGUAAAGUCUGU